CAGCCGCCGCGGUAAUACGUAGGGUGCGAGCGUUAAUCGGAUUUACUGGGCGUAAAGCGUGCGCAGGCGGCCCGUUAAGACAGGUGUGAAAUCCCUGGGCUCAACCUAGGAAUUGCGCUUGUGACUGGCGGGCUCGAGUACGGUAGAGGGGGGUGGAAUUCCUGGUGUAGCAGUGAAAUGCGUAGCGAUCAGGAGGAACACCGAUGGCGAAGGCAGCCCCCUGGGCCUGUACUGACGCUCAUGCACGAAAGCGUGGGGAGCAAACAGGAUUAGAUACCCGGGUAGUCCACGCCCUAAACGAUGGGUACUAGCCGUUUGGUGCGCGAUAGCGCUGAGUGGCGAAGCUAACGCGUGAAGUACCCCGCCUGGGGAGUACGGCCGCAAGGUUGAAACUUAAAGGAAUUGGCGGG
rnacentral:rRNA from 1 species